rnacentral:rRNA from 1 species
AUUGAACGCUGGCGGCAUGCCUUACACAUGCAAGUCGAACGGCAGCACGGGAGCUUGCUCCUGGUGGCGAGUGGCGAACGGGUGAGUAAUACAUCGGAACGUACCCUGAAGUGGGGGAUAACGUAGCGAAAGUUACGCUAAUACCGCAUAUUCUGUGAGCAGGAAAGAGGGGGAUCGCAAGACCUCUUGCUUUAGGAGCGGCCGAUGUCGGAUUAGCUAGUUGGUGAGGUAAAGGCUCACCAAGGCGACGAUCCGUAGCGGGUCUGAGAGGAUGAUCCGCCACACUGGGACUGAGACACGGCCCAGACUCCUACGGGAGGCAGCAGUGGGGAAUUUUGGACAAUGGGCGAAAGCCUGAUCCAGCCAUGCCGCGUGAGUGAAGAAGGCCUCGGUUGUAAG